UCCCGGCGUGGUGGGUGAUCUCCAGGGUGGGCUGUGGACAGACAGAGAGGGCCAUGGGUGCCAGCCACCCUGGGAGGGCAGGCAGCGCUGGUGUCGGGGGCAGGUGGUGGGGCCCUCGCACCUGGUCCUCCGUGAGCAGGAUGAGGCGUGUCACCAGGAUAUUAACGAUGUUUCCCAGACUCGAGUCCUGGAAAAGUUUGGCAACCUGACCUCCAAGAAACAAGAGAGACCGAGUCUUAAGAGGAGCCCAGAGCAGAAGACAAAAAGCGACACAUGGCGUAGCCCUCUUUGACCAAAGGGGCAAACCGACACAUGGAGAGGUCAGGACACACAGCAGGGAGGUGCCACGAGUAGGAUUCGCGUCUGGCCUGGCCAAGUCUGAGAGUCGAUCUCCAAACAGGGCAGUUCAGCGCAUGAGGGACGGAGCCAGGUUUUCAACAAGAUGCAGACUUAGAAGUUGACAUUACCCGCUCCUGCUUGGACCCCUCCAGCAAUGGGGACCUCACUCCAAGACACUCUGUGACCCUACUGCUCCCUUCGGCUGGGCUAAUGAUUACCCCUUGUUUUUUGGUUUGUUUUUUUUUACCUUUGGGGGGCUUCAGUUGGUGGCGUGGUGUCGGGACACCUGUGCGUGAGCCCCUCUGGGCCUCAGCACCUCUUCUUCAGCGCCUAGACAGGGAGGGGGCAGUGAGGAGGAGCUGCGCUGGGUCUGAAGUUCAGGGGUGGCUGAGAAUACUCCGACCCUGGUGAACCUCCUCUUGGAGUCCAUCCCCCCUCAGUUCCUAGUCCUUCACCAAAGCUCCCUCCUCCCUCCUCUGCCUCCCCCUGCCCCCAUCUCCUCUUGCCUCCUCUCCUCAAUUCUACUCUGGAGACCUUGACCAGCUGGGAAGAAACCCCUUCCUGGUCAGGUUCUCCUGACCCUCUCCCUGCCUUAACCCCUUCCCCUCCACAAUCUCCGUAGCAGUGUGAGGCUGGAACCCCCUGCCCCCAAUCCUGCCCCUCUCCUUUCCUGCACUGCCAGGCCCGCUGCAGAAUCUUCCUCCCACAGUGGCUCUGGUCCUGGCUGCAGGGUCUUUCUGCCUCUCCUGCUUGCUCCCCACCCCUGAAGUCCUCACCACCGUCCUCUGGGGCUGGGCCCCCCCUCUCCUCGACC